GUGGGUUGGGGGGUCUUCAGGGGUCGGAGCUGGGAACUGGCGGAGAGGGGUCGGGUUCUCAGGGGUCGGGAUCGGAACUGGAGGUUGAGCACUUAAGCUCGGGGAAGGUGAGAUAGGGGGGUCAGGGACUCGGAUUAAGAUUAACUUGAAAGAUUUGGGGUCGGUCGUCACAGCCUACCCCCCUUAAAGAAUCUCGUCCUGAGAUUCGGGUGUAAGGGUAACCAGAGGGGGUGUGCAGUCCUUACCUCCUUGGCUGGAAAGAAAACCUUGGAAAUGCUUGUUCAGAUACUCUUCUUUUUCCCAGGUUGCUUCUUCUUCUGUUUGGUUGUUCCAUAAUAUCUUGUACAUUUUCACCACUUGUCUUCGGGUAUGCCUCUCCUUGCGGUCAAGAACUUUG
rnacentral:lncRNA from 1 species